UACAGGGGGUGCAAACGUUGCUCGGAAUUAUUGGGCGUAAAGCGCGCGUAGGCGGCUACUUAAGUCGGAUGUGAAAGCCCCUGGCUCAACUGGGGAAGUGCACCCGAAACUGAGUGGCUUGAGUGCGAAAGAGGGUCGCGGAAUUCCCGGUGUAGAGGUGAAAUUCGUAGAUAUCGGGAGGAACACCGGUGGCGAAGGCGGCGACCUGGGUCGACACUGACGCUGAGUGAGCGAAAGCCAGGGGAGCAAACGGG
rnacentral:rRNA from 1 species